GUGCCAGCAGCCGCGGUAAUACAGAGGGUGCGAGCGUUAAUCGGAAUUACUGGGCGUAAAGCGCACGUAGGUGGCUUUGCAAGUCGAUUGUGAAAUCCCCGGGCUUAACCUGGGAACUGCAGUCGAGACUGCUUUGCUUGAGUAUGGGAGAGGGAGGUGGAAUUUCCGGUGUAGCGGUGAAAUGCGUAGAUAUCGGAAGGAACAUCAGUGGCGAAGGCGACCUCCUGGACCAAUACUGACACUCAAGUGCGAAAGCGUGGGGAGCAAACAGGAUUAGAUACCCUGGUAGUCC
rnacentral:rRNA from 1 species